AGAGUUUGAUCCUGGCUCAGGAUGAACGCUAGCGGCAGGCCUAAUACAUGCAAGUCGGACGGGAUAGGAGAGCUUGCUUUCCUUGAAGAGUGGCGCACGGGUGCGUAACACGUAUGUAACCUACCUUUAUCAGGGGGAUAGCCUCUCGAAAGAGAGAUUAAGCCCGCAUAAAAUCACAUCACAGCGUUGUGAAAUGAUCAAAUAUAUUAAUAGGAUAAAGAUAGGGCACUGUCGCGAAACACUUAGACCUAGAUUUGGGUAUANGGGUUAACCGGCCUUAACCCCAGGGGCCUAACCGAUUGGUUUUAAGGGGGGAUUCUGGAAGAGGGAUGGACCCCCCCCACACUGGUUACUGAGACACGGACCAGACUCCUACGGGAGGCAGCAGUAAGGAAUAUUGGUCAAUGGGCGGAAGCCUGAACCAGCCAUGCCGCGUGCAGGA
rnacentral:rRNA from 1 species